rnacentral:rRNA from 1 species
GACGAACGCUGGCGGCAUGCCUAAUACAUGCAAGUCGAGCGAACAGAUGAAGUGCUUGCACUUCUGACGUUAGCGGCGAACGGGUGAGUAACACGUAAGGAAUCUACCUAUAAGCGGGGGAUAACAUUCGGAAACGGGUGCUAAUACCGCAUAAUAUCUUCUUCCGCAUGGAAGAAGAUUGAAAGACGGCUCUGCUGUCACUUAUAGAUGACCUUGCGGUGCAUUAGUUAGUUGGUGGGGUAACGGCCUACCAAGACGAUGAUGCAUAGCCGACCUGAGAGGGUGAUCGGCCACAUUGGGACUGAGACACGGCCCAAACUCCUACGGGAGGCAGCAGUAGGGAAUCUUCCGCAAUGGGCGAAAGCCUGACGGAGCAAUGCCGCGUGAGUGAAGAAGGCCUUCGGGUCGUAAAACUCUGUUAUAAGAGAAGAACAAAUUGUAGAGUAACUGCUACAGUCUUGACGGUAUCUUAUCAGAAAGCCCCGGCUAACUUCGUGCCAGCAGCCGCGGUAA